UGAAUACGAGACGCUAAGGCGUCGAAGUAGUGUAUGUCAUACUUCCAAGAAAAGCUUGCACUGUCAUAGAUAAAAAACGCCUGUACCAUAACCGACACAGGUGGGUAGGUAGAGUAUACUAAGGGGCGCGAGAUAACUCUCUCUAAGGAACUCGGCAAAAUAACUCCGUAACUUCGGGAGAAGGAGUGCCUUAUUCGUAAGGUUGCAAUAACAAGAUCCAAGCAACUGUUUAUCAAAAACACAGGUCUCCGCUAAGUCGUAAGACGAUGUAUGGGGGCUGACGCCUGCCCAGUGCCAGAAGGUUAAAGAAGUUGGUUAGCAAUUGCGAAGCUGAUAACUGAAGCCCUGGUGAACGGCGGCCGUAACAAUAACGGUCCUAAGGUAGCGAAAUUCCUUGUCGGGUAAGUUCCGACCCGCACGAAAGGCGUAAUGAUUUGGAUACUGUCUCGGAGAGGGGCUCGGUGAAAUAGACUUGUCUGUGAAGAUGCGGACUACCUGCACCAGGACAGAAAGACCCUAUGAAGCUUUACUGUAACUUGAAAUUGAAAUUGGACUUUAUUCGCGCAGUAUAGGUGAGAGGCGUUGAUUAUAAUCUUGUGGGAUUAUUGGAGCCAUCAGUGAGAUACCACUCUUGUAAUGUUAGAUUUCUAACUUUGAAUCAUUAUCUGGUCAAAGAACAGUUUCAGGCGGGCAGUUUGACUGGGGCGGUCGCCUCCUAAACGGUAACGGAGGCGUACAAAGGUUUCCUCUGAACGGUUAGAAAUCGUAUCUAGAGUGUAAAGGCAUAAGGAAGCUUGACUGUGAGACCUACAAGUCGAGCAGGGACGAAAGUCGGUCUUAGUGAUCUGACGGUACUGAGUGGAAAGGCCGUCACUCAACGGAUAAAAGUUACUCUAAGGAUAACAGGCUGAUCUCCCCCAAGAGUUCACAUCGACGGGGAGGUUUGGCACCUCGAUGUCGGCUCAUCGCAUCCUGGGGCGGUAGUACGUCCCAAGGGUUGGGCUGUUCGCCCAUGAAAGCGGUACGCGAGCUGGGUUCAGAACGUCGUGAGACAGUUCGGUCCAUAUCCGGUGUAGGCGCUAGAAUAUUGAGAGGAGCCUUCUUUAGUACGAGAGGACCGAGAAGGACAUACCUCUGGUGUACCAGUUAUCGUGCCAACGGUAAACGCUGGGUAGCUAUGUAUGGAGUGGAUAACCGCUGAAAGCAUCUAAGUGGGAAGCCCACCUCAAGAUAAGUAUUCUCC
rnacentral:rRNA from 1 species